AAAACUACUCUUUUAAGGUGACACCAACAUUAUAGCAGAUCUGAUGCAAUCUCUAUCUGGCACUACUGCUGCUGCUGCUAGUCUCUAGUACCCACGCGAUGGAAAAACCAAUGCGCCAAGCAUAACGCUUAGUGGUGCACAGUUUAAGUAAAAAUAAACUAAGAAAAUAAAUAUAAAUACUUCAUAAGGAAGUACCCAUUUCAUGACUUUUGAGUCAUUUACUAUUUUAUUGAACUUUGGAGUAAUUAAACUUGUCAGGAUCUUUUCUAAUAAUUU
rnacentral:misc_RNA from 1 species